rnacentral:rRNA from 1 species
AUACGGAGGGUGCAAGCGUUAUCCGGAUUUAUUGGGUUUAAAGGGUGCGUAGGCGGUUUGAUAAGUCAGCGGUGGAAUAUUUCAGCUUAACUGGAAGGGUGCCGUUGAUACUGUCGAGCUUGAAUUUAGUUGCUGUGGGUGGAAUGUGUGGUGUAGCGGGGAAAUGCAUAGAUAUCACACAGAAUAUCGAUUGCGAAGGCAGCUCACGAAGCUAAUAUUGACGCUGAUGCACGAAAGUGUGGGGAUCAAACAGGAUUAGAUACCCUGGUAGUCCACACUGUAAACGAUGAUAACUCGCUGUCGGCGAUACAUAGUCGGUGGCCAAGCGAAAGCGAUAAGUUAUCCACCUGGGGAGUACGACCGCAAGGUUGAAACUCAAAUGAAUCGACGGGG